GACGAACGCUGGCGGCGUGCUUAACACAUGCAAGUCGAACGGAAAGGCCCUGCUUUUGUGGGGUGCUCGAGUGGCGAACGGGUGAGUAACACGUGAGUAACCUGCACUUGACUUUGGGAUAACUUCAGGAAACUGGGGCUAAUACCGGAUAGGAGCUCCUGCUGCAUGGUGGGGGUUGGAAAGUUUCGGCGGUUGGGGAUGGACUCGCGGCUUAUCAGCUUGUUGGUGGGGUAGUGGCUUACCAAGGCUUGGACGGGUAGCCGGCCUGAGAGGGUGACCGGCCACAUUGGGACUGAGAUACGGCCCAGACUCCUACGGGAGGCAGCAGUGGGGAAUAUUGCACAAUGGGCGGAAGCCUGAUGCAGCAACGCCGCGUGCGGGAUGACGGCCUUCGGGUUGUAAACCGCUUUCGCCUGUGACGAAGCGUGAGUGACGGUAAUGGGUAAAGAAGCACCGGCUAACUACGUG
rnacentral:rRNA from 1 species